GUGCCAGCCGCCGCGGUAAUACCGGCAGCACAAGUGAUGGCCAAUCUUAUUGGGCCUAAAGCGUCCGUAGCUGGCCGAGCAGGUCCGUCGGGAAAUCCACGUGCUCAACGCGUGGGCGUCCGGCGGAAACCACUCGGCUUGGGGCCGGAGGACUCGAGGGGUACGUCUGGGGUAGGAGUGAAAUCCCGUAAUCCUGGACGGACCGCCGAUGGCGAAAGCACGUCGCGAGAACGGAUCCGACAGUGAGGGACGAAAGCCAGGGUCUCCAACCGGAUUAGAAACCCUGGUAGUCC
rnacentral:rRNA from 1 species